UUAACAAAUCCAUUAUUCAUUAUUUAAUUUACUUUAAUUUCAUCAGCAAAUGUUUAAAUGUCCUACAGCACAUGAAUGCAUCAUCCAGUUCACCAAACCCCCCACAUGGGGGCAUCUGCCUUAUCAGACAAUCAGUGGUCAUGACUCUACUCUUAUGCUGGACUAGCAGCUCUGAGAUCAGUUUUGGAGCACGUUCCCACAGCAAGACGAUCUUUUCACUUCGGUCACGGAGAACGAAAGGAAAGUUGUUGCUGCCAUAGCCGUGUGAGCUGCGGGAGACGAGCAGUGUCCCUACUCGGGGCAUUAGCUAAAGCAGCUAACUCCUCACCGGCCAUUUUGUGAGCUGUGGCGCGGGGUGAAAUCAACGUGCUGAGCUUUGAACCCAGAACAGCGGUGAGAAAUGUUUCAUUAGCUCUGGUGCUUUUAAUUCUCAGUGUAAUAACUAUUCUUACAUCAAAGCAUGGAGGCUGUGAGGGUGAAAUGUGGAAAAUAAUGGUGCUGUGUUCAGACAUGUGACUGCAGUUUUAGUUAUAUAAUUAUUUAUGAUUUCCGAAGUAAAAAAAAAAAA